rnacentral:rRNA from 1 species
UACGAAGGGGGCUAGCGUUGCUCGGAAUCACUGGGCGUAAAGGGUGCGUAGGCGGCCACACAGGUCAGCUGUGAAAACUCGAGGCUCAACCUCGAGACGUCGGUUGAAACCGUAUGGCUAGAGUCCGGAAGAGGAGAGUGGAAUUCCUGGUGUAGCGGUGAAAUGCGCAGAUAUCAGGAGGAACACCGGUGGCGAAGGCGGGUCUCUGGGCCGAUACUGACACUGAGGAGCGAAAGCGUGGGGAGCGAACAGG